AUCUGUUGCAGUGCACAACAAUAGUUAUUCAAAUAUGCCACCUGUACAAUCAAACUACAAGUCCUACUUAUUGGUCACUAAUAAGAAAAUACCAAGGACAACAGAAUACAGACACAGGAAGGGAAAAGGCAGAAGACAUAAACAGUACAAGCAGUACCUUUGCAGCACUGGUGUUGAAGUCCCUGACAGAAUUUUAGGAUGUCAUGACAGAGAACCUCCAGUUCACCAUGAUGCACCACUGCAGCCAACAGCAGGAAAAAGAAAGAGAGCUGACAGUAAG